UUUCGGGGUGCACCAGGCGGGAAAAUUUUCCAAUGCCGGCAACGGCACUAAGGAAAUCUGGAGUGCCAGGUUACAAAUUCGGUCGUCGUGAUACCUAAAAAGCAUUGCAUAACAAGGGCCGGGCAAGACCGGUGCCAGCCGCCGCGGUAACACCGGCGGCUCGAGUGGUAACCGUUAUUAUUGGGUCUAAAGGGUCGUAAGCCGGCCGGGUAAGUCUCUUGGGAAAUUUGGCAGGCUUAACCGUCAGGCUUUCCGGAGAUACUGCCUGGUCUCGAGACCGGGAGAGGUUAGAGGUACUUCACGGGGUAGGGGUGAAAUCUCGUGAUCCCUGAAAGGACCCCCCAUGGGGAAGGGGUCUCAUCAGAACGGACCUGACGGCAAGGGACGAAAACUAGGGGGCACGAACCGGAUUAGAUACCCCGGGUAGUCCUAGCCGUAAACGAUACUCGCUAGGUGUCGGCCACGGUGCGACCGUGGUCGGUGCCGUAGGGAAGCCGUGAAGCGAGCCACCUGGGAAGUACGACCGCAAGGCUGAAACUUAAAGGAAUUGGCGGGGAGCAC
rnacentral:rRNA from 1 species